UGAUUCAACGUGAUUCGGUUGAAAUUUCUCGGCCUCGUGUUAGUUUCGUUGAACGCGAGAAACCGAUAACAAGAAUCCGGUGAGUUGAUCGGUUAAUUGGCGAAGUCAUAUUUCGCUCGGCAUACGCGAUAGCGAGGAGAGUCUAAUUAGGGCUUGAAUCUUCGAAUUGACGAUGAUGGAACAAUACGAACCAUGAGCUGAAGGAUGAACGCGGCGAUUCCGAACGCGGCGCGUUAGAGACCGGAGGCAAUCUACGAUGUGGAUCAAUUGCAAGGGCGUGAGAGCGUCGAAAUUUCGCCGUAGAAUUGACCUAGGUUCGUUGCAUAAACGUUUUCCAGAUGGGUGUUUGGCGCUCGCAUAAUCACUUUUUUCCAUCUUUUGGUUUCGUUCAUGGAUUAGGAUUCUUUCUGCAUAAUCGCUUUUCACUUCAAAUCCGCUUAAGGGGAAGGGAGUUUUGGAUUGGGGUAAUGGAAUACGUUGGAGUUUGGGGCCAUUAUCGUUAUCUGUUGAUCCAUGUUCUUCCUUCAGUCUAAUCCACCCUUCUGAGUUCUUUCGGGCUUAACGCCAUCUGAGCCCAAGGAAUGAUUCAAGCCCUAAUUCGACUCUCCUCGCUAUCGCGUAUGCCGAGCGAAAUAUGACUUCGCCAAUUAACCGAUCAACUCACCGGAUUCUUGUUAUCGGUUUCUCGCGUUCAACGAAACUAACACGAGGCCGAGAAAUUUCAACCGAAUCACGUUGAAUCAAAGCCAAGAUCUCGCCUAUACAAGUUAUGGUAUGUCGAAGCAACUUACCGGAUUGAAGCGACUCGGAGAUUCUUCGGCGGCAACGGGUAUUAUCGAUUACUCUUCUCUUUCACCUUCAAUCCUUGCGUGCGUCCUUCCUCUGGAUUAGAACUGUAGUGGCUUAGCUCAAGCAAAAUUGAAGCUUCAAUGGCUUCUUUGAGAGAGAAUGAGAGCUUUGGUGAGGGUGAGAGAGUUUGCAUGGCUCUGAAUUCGCAGGGUUCCAAAACUGUCCAAAAAUGAGAAUGAUGAAGGGUUUAUAUAGGAUUUAGGAUUGGAGUUAGUUAAUUAGGUUUGAAGUUAGUUGAACUGGACUCACUGAGUUAACAUCAGUUGGUUAUUGGAUCAAAACUCAGUUAGUUAUGUCCACUUAAUGAGUUAACAUCAGUUGGUUAUUGGAUCAAAACUCAGUUAGUUAUGUCCACUUAAUGCAUUGUUAACAAUUUGAAUUUUGUUUACUGGUUAUCACAGGUUGAUUUAAGUUGAAUUGCUCUUAAAAUGAAGGAUGACCUGCUGAGCAGGUUUUGAUGAUUAGUGUAAUGGAGUCAAGCCAGGUUGUUUUAGUGAAAUGGUGAAGCUGAAUGUUGAUGGCUGUAGCAGGUUGGUUGUCGUUGGCGGCUGGCGUGGGUGGUUGAGUGGAAUCCGGCUCUACCGAGUUUGCUGUAUAAUGCUUCGGGUGCAGAGUUGUUGUGAUAUGCUUCCAUUUCACCCGUGUUCGGUGCUGGAUUUGCUUUUGCAGGGUUAGCUGGGUGUCUUUUUUCAUGAUUGAAUCGUACCACAAUGCAAGUAACGUUAUCAGCACUGCCGUGAUUAAAUGCGGCUUCUGUUAACUUCCGAGCAGCUGCCUCGGCUGCCUCUUCCGCCCGUGCAAUUGAAACAUCAUCAUCAUUUUGUACUACAUCCAACCACCUCGGUUUCUUCAUCCAUUUUCUGCUCCUGGAUCUCAGGUUCUGCUACAACAAAUGGCUUCAGCAUACGGUUGCCAAACGCAUGAGACAUUGCUAGCACCCCUCCAACCCUCACAGUAAGGAUGGUAUAUUUGGCGUUUGUGAAUCCGAUUACCAGUUGUGGAGUUUGUUUGUAUUGUUAAUAGGAGCAUAUUAAUCAAUGAUCAUGUUAAUGACUAUGCACUACGUUAUUUUGUUAAGUUAGUUUCUUCGCAAUUCCUGUUAACUAAAAAAAUAUUACUAUUAGUAGAUAUCUAUUACUGUCAUUAGAAGUCAGCUAGAAAUUGCAAGUGCAGCCCUGUUAUUGAUGUUGUGCUGCUCAGGAGGGAAUUGCAAUGUUAUUAUGCGUAGUUGCCGCAACAUGAGUUGGAUAUGGAGUUAAAGGGAAAUGUUUCUUGAAUAGGGAAGUUAUCAUUGCUGCUAACUUUUACAAUGCAAUGUUGUAAUUACUAAUUAUGCAUCGGUAUAACAUGGCGACACCAAUUGUGUAUAUAUCAUUCAAUAGCAUAAUAGAAAUCUUACUUUUUCUAUUA